UACGAAGGGGGCUAGCGUUGCUCGGAAUCACUGGGCGCAAAGCGCACGUAGGCGGCUUUUUAAGUCAGGGGUGAAAUCCUGGAGCUCAACUCCAGAACUGCCUUUGAUACUGAGGAUCUUGAGUUCGGGAGAGGUGAGUGGAACUGCGAGUGUAGAGGUGAAAUUCGUAGAUAUUCGCAAGAACACCAGUGGCGAAGGCGGCUCACUGGCCCGAUACUGACGCUGAGGCACGAAAGCGUGGGGAGCAAACAGG
rnacentral:rRNA from 1 species